rnacentral:lncRNA from 1 species
UGGCGGCAUUGCCGGAAUUGGAAGGAACUGUACAGCAGCAGCAGUGGUAGUGUUGUGGAGAGGAUGGUGGUGAGGGGAAGGGGACUGAGGGAGAUGAGGGGUGGUUCGUUUGUGAUCUCGCCUGGUCGCGAAAGUUUUGGUGCGGCGAUCGGGUGAGCUUUGUUCUUGUGUUUUUGGUUGCGGAGCGGAGGUGAUCACUUGUCAGUGAUUCUUGGAUUGUUUUGUGAUUUGAGAGUAGAGGUUUUGUUGUUGGUCUUCUAGGUGCUUUUUAAAGUCUAGAAGCAAUCAAAUUGAAGCAGUAGCAGUAGAGGGAGUAACGAGCGAAGCUGUGUCGGUGUUUAUGCGCUGAAUUUUGAACGCUUGUGCUGCUACCGAAGUGGUAGCAAGAUGUGU